rnacentral:rRNA from 1 species
ACGAACGCUGGCGGCAUGCCUAACACAUGCAAGUCGAACGAGACCUUCGGGUCUAGUGGCGCACGGGUGCGUAACGCGUGGGAAUCUGCCCUUGGGUACGGAAUAACUCAGAGAAAUUUGUGCUAAUACCGUAUAAUGUCUUCGGACCAAAGAUUUAUCGCCCAAGGAUGAGCCCGCGUAAGAUUAGCUUGUUGGUGAGGUAAAAGCUCACCAAGGCGACGAUCUUUAGCUGGUCUGAGAGGAUGAUCAGCCACACUGGGACUGAGACACGGCCCAGACUCCUACGGGAGGCAGCAGUGGGGAAUAUUGGACAAUGGGCGAAAGCCUGAUCCAGCAAUGCCGCGUGAGUGAUGAAGGCCUUAGGGUUGUAAAGCUCUUUUACCCGGGAUGAUAAUGACAGUACCGGGAGAAUAAGCUCCGGCUAACUCCGU